rnacentral:rRNA from 1 species
UGGGGAAUAUUGCACAAUGGGCGAAAGCCUGAUGCAGCAACGCCGCGUGAGGGACGACGGCCUUCGGGUUGUAAACCUCUUUUAGCAAGGAAGAAGCGAAAGUGACGGUACUUGCAGAAAAAGCGCCGGCUAACUACGUGCCAGCAGCCGCGGUAAUACGUAGGGCGCAAGCGUUAUCCGGAAUUAUUGGGCGUAAAGAGCUCGUAGGCGGUUUGUCGCGUCUGCUGUGAAAACCCGAGGCUCAACCUCGGGCCUGCAGUGGGUACGGGCAGACUAGAGUGCGGUAGGGGAGAUUGGAACUCCUGGUGUAGCGGUGGAAUGCGCAGAUAUCAGGAAGAACACCAAU